GUGGGGAAUUUUGGACAAUGGGCGCAAGCCUGAUCCAGCAAUGCCGCGUGCAGGAAGAAGGCCUUCGGGUUGUAAACUGCUUUUGUACGGAACGAAACGGUCCUGGUUAAUACCUGGGGCUAAUGACGGUACCGUAAGAAUAAGCACCGGCUAACUACGUGCCAGCAGCCGCGGUAAUACGUAGGGUGCGAGCGUUACUCGGAAUUACUGGGCGUAAAGCGUGCGCAGGCGGUGCUGUAAGACAGGCGUGAAAUCCCCGGGCUCAACCUGGGAAUUGCGCUUGUGACUGCAGUGCUGGAGUACGGCAGAGGGGGAUGGAAUUCCGCGUGUAGCAGUGAAAUGCGUAGAUAUGCGGAGGAACACCGAUGGCGAAGGCAGUCCCCUGGGCCUGUACUGACGCUCAUGCACGAAAGCGUGGGGAGCAAACAGGAUUAGAAACCCCGGUAGUCC
rnacentral:rRNA from 1 species